AGUGAACGCUGGCGGCAGGCCUAACACAUGCAAGUCGGGCGGCAGCGCGGGGGCAACCCUGGCGGCGAGCGGCGGACGGGUGAGGAAUUCGUCGGAAUCUGCCUUUUUGUGGGGGAUAACGUAGGGAAACUUACGCUAAUACCGCAUACGUCCUACGGGAGAAAGUGGGGGACCGCAAGGCCUCACGCAGAAAGAUGAGCCGACGACCGAUUAGCUAGUUGGUGGGGUAAAGGCCCACCAAGGCGACGAUCGGUAGCUGGUCUGAGAGGAUGAUCAGCCACACUGGGACUGAGACACGGCCCAGACUCCUACGGGAGGCAGCAGUGGGGAAUAUUGGACAAUGGGCGCAAGCCUGAUCCAGCCAUGCCGCGUGUGUGAAGAAGGCCUUCGGGUUGUAAAGCACUUUUGUCCGGAAAGAAAUCCCUGGAGCUAAUACCUUCGGGGGAUGACGGUACCGGAAGAAUAAGCACCGGCUAACUUCGUG
rnacentral:rRNA from 1 species